rnacentral:rRNA from 1 species
GUGAGGAAUAUUGGUCAAUGGGCGGGAGCCUGAACCAGCCAAGUCGCGUGAAGGAAGAAGGAUCUAUGGUUCGUAAACUUCUUUUGCAGGGGAAUAAAGUGCAGGACGUGUCCUGUUUUGUAUGUACCCUGAGAAUAAGGAUCGGCUAACUCCGUGCCAGCAGCCGCGGUAAUACGGAGGAUCCGAGCGUUAUCCGGAUUUAUUGGGUUUAAAGGGUGCGUAGGUGGUUUGAUAAGUCAGCGGUGAAAGUUUGCAGCUUAACUGUAAAAAUGCCGUUGAAACUGUCGGACUUGAGUGUAAAUGAGGUAGGCGGAAUGCGUGGUGUAGCGGUGAAAUGCAUAGAUAUCACGCAGAACUCCGAUUGCGAAGGCAGCUUACUAAGCUACAACUGACACUGAAACACGAAAGCGUGGGGAUCAAACAGGAUUAGAAACCCCGGUAGUCC